CACCGCAUGCAUGGAGUCUUAGCUUUAGGUCCAUGGUUUAUACGAUAAAUGACAUGUACAGGUUAUGGUCCCCUUAGACACAUUUGUGUUGACAAAAUAUUUAUCUAUCAUUAUUUAUUCAAAAGACACGGUAGUGUCCCAAGUGCACAUAAAAGCAAAGCGAUUUUAUAUAUGAGAUACUCAGAUCCAUUUUUUGACUUAGGUACGCAUUAAUUAAUACUUGUCUGCCUGAAACUUGUCUCAUUAUAAAAUACUGAGAUGAUUAUUUAAAGUUUGAUUUAAAUAAAUAUUUCAGUUAAAUGACACGUAUGUGACAUUCAUAUAUUUGUAAUAGAGGUUCGACUGAAGAUCUCUUAUUUAACUCUGAAUUUAAAUCUGAGUGAGAGACAAGUUUGAAAUUAUAACUAUUAAUACAAGCCUUAGAGUUAAAUUAGAGUUAAAUCAGAGUUUUUCAGUUGAUCACAUAAUAUGUAUAAUAUAUAUUUAAGGCUUGUUUUAAUAGUCAUGACUUCAAACUUAUCUGUAGUAAGAUACUCAAAUUCAAAUUCAGAGUUAAAUAAGAGAUCUUCAAUCAUAGCGCUAUUGCAGAUAUAUGAAUAUCACAUAUAUAUCAUUUAACUGAAACAUUUGAAUCGAACUUUGAAUAAUCAUCUGAGUAUUUUAUAAUGAGACAAGUUUCAGAUGACAAGUAUUAAUUAAUGCAUACCUAAGUCAAAUGAGAUCUAUCUUACACUUGAUUUUUACAAUAAGUUUAUAUACUUACAUACAAGAGGACAUUACAUCCAGUAUAUCGAGAAUUGGAAUGCCAAUUUUUUUAGUGAUUCUAGAGGCCAAAAAAUAAUGAAAGAAUAUUUCAAGUUUGCAGUAGACGACAAUAUACACAAAUGAAAGUAUGUUUUCGUGAAACCCUUGUUUAUUCAUUGUAUUCUCAUUUAAUAACUUGUAAAUGACGUAUUAAUUCACAAGUAUCACAAGUAUUUGUUUAAUCAAUGGGACAUGAAUGUAAGUGACAUGUGUGCCAAUAAUUGAACACAUGUUUAAUCAAUGGGUCAUUAUAAUUAUAAUUUUGACUAUA